CAACUUACCUGGCAGGGGAAAUGCCAUGAUCACAAAGAUGGUUCACCCAGAGUGAGGCUCGGCCAUGCCACUGCGGCUGUGCUAACCCUGUGAAUUCCCCAAAUGUGGCAACCUCAACUUUCAUUUCUGCUAGUUACAGUAGGUACUGCAUUUGUGCUCUGUGC